AGGGAAGAAGGGGCUCCACCAGCAGCACCCAGCGAGCACCCGGCAUGCCUGGGAUUCGAGUGCAGGCCUGUCUGAUUCUGUAGGGAGGAGAAAAUCUUCUUUCCUCUACCCCUCUAGGUUCUCUGGCUGGGGCUCUGAAAGAGACUGACAAAGGCAGAUUAACGAGAGAAAAACAGACACGAGUUUAUUACCACGUGCAUCACGCACACCCAUGGGAACGUCCGCACUUUGUCCCAGGAAUGGGGUCUGUAAUUCAGGGACCUGUAGAAGUUCACAGUGUGAGAGGAAUGAAGUGUCCAAUCUGCAAUCUGAAUCUUCCCUAUGAAAUUUCCACCUGGUGCCCUCCAGCGCAGAUUCUCGCACCCACAGUCCUGCCUUACAGGGCAGACCAUUUCCUCUCUGACAGUACUACCUGUCUGAAUGUUCUGCUUCAAACUGAGUCAAGAUAUGUGAACCCUGGGUAGAAGAAUUAUCAGGUCUGGAGGGAGCACAAGCAAACUAUCCCAUUUUAUGGACGUGGAAACCGAGGCCUGAGGGAGAGACGCACCAGGAAUCAGGAGAUCUGGCUCUGAUCAGCUGUACAAAUUGAGAAUUGUGACCUGACCUUGUCCAACCCAAGUGGCCCAACUCCUAAUUCUGUGAGUGACAUGUCUCUGUUACUUUGGAAUAUUGAUUGAAGAUGCCAUUAAGAACAUUCAUGAUUCAUGAGAGGAGAUCAAAAUAUCAACAUAAACAGGAGUUUGAAAGAAGUUGAUUUCAACCCUUGUGGAUGACUAUGAGAGAUUCAAGGCUUCAGUGGAGAAUGCACCUACAGAUAUGGUGGAAACAGCAAAAGAAAUAGAAUCAGAAGUGGAGCCUGAAGAUUAAACUGAAUUGCUGCAAUCUCAUGAUAAAACUUGAACAGAUGAGGAGUUGCUUCUUACAGGGUUAGGAACUGUCAGAGUGUGGCUCAACUGAGAAACAACUUUCUGAGUAGAGGUGGGGAAAGAUGGGCUAAGAGGCUUCUGAGGUCAUGUGUUCACCAUCACUGAGGCACUGUGAUGUGUUAGGUGGGUCUGAACCCUCUGGCUUCAGAGAGAGUGCCUGUGGGGCACCAGGUAAUCCGAGACUGCAGCUCAGAGAUUACUCCAGCAAAGGGUCAGGUAUCCACACUGCCUCUGCUACCUGCCCGUUGGUCACUCACUCAUUGUUCUGAUGAUAAGAUCGACAGAUCACAAGAAGGCGAGUGUCAUGGGCAAAGCGAGGAGUCCAGCAGGAUGGACGCUGUGUGGUUUCUCAGCUGGAGCGCAGCAGGAGCAAGCGUGGAAACAUCCUUCUUUUCUCUUCUCCCCUCCCCUCCCCAAGUGCAAAUGGAACCUGUGAAAUAUGGCUUGAUUUUGAGGCUUCUAAUUCUUCAUUGCACUCCCAGACCCUUCUUUUAUCUCUGGUGGCAGCCCUGAGAAUAAAUCUCUUGGUCACAUUCUUCAAUCAGUUUCUCCCAGAGAAAAGGUUAGGCUGCAAGGAUGAUAGGAACCAGACUUCAAAUGGGUUUCCAGGAGCUGAGGGAAGGAAAGGUUUUUCCUACAGUUUCUCCAGCCAAGGGAUUAAGAAAAGGAUGGGGUCAUAGAGCAACAGCAGUAGAAGGUGGCAUUCCAAGACUUUCUCCAGGACUCCACCUAAGGUCAGUUUCUCGUCACUCAUACCUGUUUGUCUUUUGCCUGGCCACCAUCAAUGUAGAGUUAAGAACCAGGAGGCAGGAACAUGCUCCCCAAGUCACAGUCUGCCUCCCACAUACUGCAGUUUGAUUACAGCAUCCUGCCUCUCCACAGGAGGAAAGUGGUGUCAUUCUCCAGAACCAGGUGUGGAUUGUGAUCAGACCUAGAAUUGGCUAGGUAAAAAGCUUAAGAGAGAGAUUCCAUGUCCUGCAACACUGUCCACAAUUCAAAUCUGUAUUCAAAAUAAAACUAAAAGCAGAGAAAAUCCACAGCAGACCUACCACUCUCCAGGCAGAUAGUGCCCUCUCCACAAUCUGCAGCCAUCAACUGCCUCUGCUGGACGCUGCCCAGAGAGAGACCUGCUGCUGCAGAGCAGCUCUGUGUCAGCCACUGCGGCCUUAGAGAGAGCUGCAGGAAAUGGGACUUCUCACGUGCUCUCCACAGUGGAACCACAGGUCAGCAGCUGAAUGGAGCCUCUACCCUCUGGAUGCCUUUCUUGUCACUUAGUAUUCUUUUUUUUCUCAUUCUGGUACUUUAUCUGCUGGAAACUUUCAAAUGUAUUACUAAUGUCCUUCCAAACAGACUCCACAUGGGAAUUUUCAUGAUAUCUUGGCUAUAUUUACACAAAGAUUAGCUUGCAGGAAACACAAAAUAAGUAUGCAUAAAUAAAUGAGUGGC
ensembl:lncRNA TMEM72-AS1 TMEM72 antisense RNA 1